UGGGGAAUAUUGCACAAUGGAGGGAACUCUGAUGCAGCGACGCCGCGUGAACGAAGAAGGCUUUCGAGUCGUAAAGUUCUUUUAUAUGGGAAGAUAAUGACGGUACCAUAAGAAAAAGCCCCGGCUUACUACGUGCCAGCAGCCGCGGUAAUACGUAGGGGGCUAGCGUUGUCCGGAAUCACUGGGCGUAAAGGGUUCGCAGGCGGAAAUGCAAGUCAGGUGUAAAAGGCAGUAGCUUAACUACUGUAAGCAUUUGAAACUGCAUAUCUUGAGAAGAGUAGAGGUAAGUGGAAUUUUUAGUGUAGCGGUGAAAUGCGUAGAUAUUAAAAAGAAUACCGGUGGCGAAGGCGACUUACUGGGCUCAUUCUGACGCUGAGGAACGAAAGCGUGGGUAGCAAACAGG
rnacentral:rRNA from 1 species